AAAACGUCUCCAGAGAGUGCCAACAUCCCCUGGGGCCCAAGGGACCUCAGGUGUCGGCGGAUGGCCUGGGGAUCUUGCUGCGGCUCGGUGAGGCAAGGGGAGCCUCUGCCUUCUGCACAACCUCCUAGGGCGUGCAAGAUGGGUCCAUCCUGUCCCCCAGCAUCCAGCGGUCACCUCCCCACCCAGAACCUAAUUCAUUGCAAAAGAGAAGUUUCCCUUUAGAAAUUGACAUGCUGAUCCUUAAAUUCAUAUGGAAAUACAAGAGACCCUGACCAGCCAAAACAAUCUGGAAAAGGAAAAACAAAGUUGAAAGAUUCACAUUUCUCAGGUCUUCUUACAAAGCUACACUAAUGAAGACAGUUUGGUACUGGCAUAAGAACAGAUAAAUCAACAGGACAGAAGUUACAGUCCAGAAGUAAACCCUCACAUUCUCUACUGAUUUUCAAUAAAGGGGCCAACACAAUUUAUUGAAGAAGGAAUAGUCUGGGU